rnacentral:RNase_P_RNA from 1 species
AUUUCAAGACAAAUGCUGCAUAAAUUAUAUGUAGAGGAAAGUCCAUGCUCGCACAGGCUGAGAUGCUUGUAGUGUUCGUGCCUAAGGAAAAAAUAACUUAGGGUAGUUUAACUAACGGCGUCGAAUUUUCCUUUAAUCUGGAAAUAGUAGACAUAAAGUGCCAAAGAGACGAGUAUUUGUGGAAACGCAAAUAGUGGAACGUGGUAAACCCCGCGAGCGAGAAACCCAAAUUUUGGUAGGGGAAUUCAUCAAUAGAAAAUGAACUAAAGAUGGAACCGUUUAUGGUAGAUAAAUAUUUGUCGCUUUUUUUAUAAAAGUACAGAACAUGGCUUAUAAGA